UCUCUGGAGUGAACCUUCUUGUUCAAAGAAAAAAUAUAUAUCCAGUGAGUCACAAUUGACGAUUAAAAUGUUGGGAAUGUGUUAUCACAGGAACUGCAAAGAUUCAAGAAGAAGCUUAUUACUACCUUCUCAGAGCAAUCAGAGAUGAAAUGUUUCUUCCAUAUCUAAGUCCAUAACCUAAGAAGGGAAGAAAGACAGCAGUAACUUGGAUAAUUAUUCAACUGGACAUCCACUAAUCAGGCUUUCUCUGCAGGAUUGCUGGAGGGUCUCAGGAUGGAAUCUACUGAAAGUGGAUGUCUGGGAUCAGUCAGGAAAUCAGAAAUCCCGAUUUCUGUGGAGAAGUGUGUUUGUUUGUCACACGGUGGGAGAGCGAAUCUUGCCUUUAGUGGAAGUAUAAAGAGCCAGGAGUUACUGAAUAAAAAGAAGGGGCCAUCUGUUUAGGAUGAAUCGUGGGAGCCUCUACUCUGUGAUACAACACACGUGAUGACAUCCAACGCCAGUGCUGGCUGCCCAGGGGAUACUAAAUAAGCAACUGCUUUCAGCCCUCCUGAACUGAACUGAACUAUGACAGGAGGUCUUGACUACAGAAAGCUGCCUGAACAAGACAACAUUUUCAAAAAUAUACCUGCUUCUCUCAUCAACCCCGCAUUACUGAGUGUGUAUGGUGAGCAGGUAUACACCUAGAAAUACAGACGUGACGGUAAUCCAAACAGAAGUAAAUAAAACAGCGGACGUUUUUCACAGUAUUCAAAGCUUACAACAUUCUAUGGUUCCAAAUCCCACCAUUUGGAAAUUAAUGAUUUUAAUCUUAUAAUUCAUGUGGUACGUUCCAGUUGAGGCCAACCGUGCUGAGGGAGUCACUGAAGCUUGGAGCACACACCACAAAGAUUAUGUGGGGAAGGAACACAGGC